rfam:Geobacillus sp. Y4.1MC1, complete genome.
AGGGCAGUAUCUUUUGCGAAAGAACUGCACCAAAUAAGCAAGUGACAAGUGAAUAAAAAGCGCGAUCUGCCUUGAUCCUUAAGAAGGACUUGGACAGAGGG